GCCGGGCGUGGUGGUGCAUGCCUGUAAUCCCAGCUACUCAGGAGGCUGAGGCACAAGAAUCACUUGAACCUGGGAGGCGGAGGUUGCAGUGAGCCGAGAUCGCGCCACUACAAUCCAGCCUGGGUGACAGAGUGAGACUCUGUCUCAG
rnacentral:SRP_RNA from 1 species